rnacentral:misc_RNA from 1 species
GGGUACUCUUUUCUUUGUCAUGGUUUUCUCAGGCGAAAGUCUGAGUUUUUACAUGACAAAGUUUUUAACGAGGCCC